GAUGAACGCUAGCUACAGGCUUAACACAUGCAAGUCGCGGGGCAGCAUGGGGGUUGCUUGCAAUCCCCGAUGGCGACCGGCGCACGGGUGAGUAACGCGUAUUCAACCUGCCCUUCACCACGGGAUAACCCGGCGAAAGUCGGACUAAUACCGUAUGUUGUCCAUUGACGGCAUCCGAUUUGGACGAAAGGCUUGGCGGUGAGGGAUGGGGAUGCGUCCGAUUAGCCAGACGGCGGGGUAACGGCCCACCGUGGCUACGAUCGGUAGGGGUUCUGAGAGGAAGGUCCCCCACACUGGAACUGAGACACGGUCCAGACUCCUACGGGAGGAAGCAGUGAGGAAUAUUGGUAAAUGGGCGUAAGCCUGAACCAGCCAAGUAGCGUGCAGGAUGACGGCCCUAUGGGUUGUAAACUGCUUUUAUGCGGGGAUAAAGUGGCCCACGUGUGGGCUUUUGCAGGUACCGAAUGAAUAAGGACCGGCUAAUUCCGUG
rnacentral:rRNA from 1 species